rnacentral:tRNA from 1 species
GCCCCUGUAGCUCAAUGGAUAGAGUACUGGGCUUCGAACCCAGAGGUGCAAGUUCAACUCUUGCCAGGGGCA